AAUAUUAAGAGUUUGAUCCUGGCUCAGGAUGAACGCUGGCUGUGUGCCUAAUACAUGCAUGUCGAGCGAGGUUCUUUUAGGACCUAGCGGCGAAUGGGUGA
rnacentral:rRNA from 1 species